UACGAAGGGGGCUAGCGUUGCUCGGAAUCACUGGGCGUAAAGGGUGCGUAGGCGGGUCUUAAGUCAGGGGUGAAAUCCUGGAGCUCAACUCCAGAACUGCCUUCGAUACUGAGAGUCUCGAGUCCGAGAGAGGUGAGUGGAACUGCGAGUGUAGAGGUGAAAUUCGUAGAUAUUCGCAAGAACACCAGUGGCGAAGGCGGCUCACUGGCCCGGUACUGACGCUGAGGUGCGAAAGCGUGGGGAGCA
rnacentral:rRNA from 1 species